AUAGAAGCUUUAAGACAACAAUGAAAACUUGGAUGAUGCAUUCAAAUAGUGUUUAAAUAGUAACAGGGUGAACGCUAAAAAUUCAUCCUGCACCAGACAUAUCUCCUUAUGACUGCACCGAGGAAAGAGUUUGAGGAAAGUAUUCCAAAGGAGCCCAGGGGUUGAUGGGUAAUUGGGGAUGUGGCCUGGCGUGUGGAGAUUCCGCUAACCGAUGGCGAAUCACGUAAUACGGACGAGAAAGGCAGACAUGUGGGCGCGCAUGACACUGACAGUAACAUCUUGAAGAUCAUUGGAUGCUUCAUCACUCAGACUCAGCUGAUUGGCCAUGCAAACAUUCCUCUUUUCCUGACUGGGUGUUUCACGAUCCUCCUCGGUGUCAUCAGGGCUGCUGAUAUGUGGUGCAGAGGCA